rnacentral:rRNA from 1 species
UACGUAGGGUGCAAGCGUUGUCCGGAAUUAUUGGGCGUAAAGAGCUCGUAGGCGGUCUGUCGCGUCUGCUGUGAAAACUCAGGGCUUAACCCUGAGCUUGCAGUGGGUACGGGCAGACUGGAGUGCGGUAGGGGGAGAUUGGAAUUCCUGGUGUAGCGGUGGAAUGCGCAGAUAUCAGGAGGAACACCGGUGGCGAAGGCGGCGACCUGGGUAGAUACUGACGCUGAGGCGCGAAAGCGUGGGGAGCGAACAGG